GGCAAACUCGCUGAAAGGCGGGGACGCAAAGCUAUGAGUCUACGGCGCGGUGCGCUAAGAUCGUCAGGCUGC
rnacentral:ncRNA from 1 species